CACGUAGGGUGCGAGCGUUUGUUCGGAAUUACUGGGCGUAAAGCGCACGUAGGCGGAUAUUUAAGUCAGGGGUGAAAUCCCAGAGCUCAACUCUGGAACUGCCUUUGAUACUGGGUAUCUCGAGUAUGGAAGAGGUGAGUGGAAUUCCGAGUGUAGAGGUGAAAUUCGUAGAUAUUCGGAGGAACACCAGUGGCGAAGGCGGCUCACUGGUCCAUUACUGACGCUGAGGUGCGAAAGCGUGGGGAGCAAACAGG
rnacentral:rRNA from 1 species